rnacentral:misc_RNA from 1 species
GGGAAAGAGAUGUUGAAGAGAAUGGGCUAAAAUCUUUCAAACUAUGCGAGGUUUUGCAUUCUAGACCACUAGCAAAUCUGCCAUCGACAAAAGGAUGCCAUCUUGGGAAGAUCCAGAAGGGGACUUCUGAAUGGGAAAAGAUUGCCAAGGAGGCGGCAAGAACAAUCCCAGGAAGAGAGAACGGAGGAAACUGUGACAUAAAAAAUCUCAGUAGAGGUUCAAAAGUAUACCUUCCGGUAUUUGUAGAAGGAGCAAAUCUUAGUACUGGUGACAUGCACUUCUCUCAAGGCGAUGGUGAAGUCGCAUUCUGCGGCGCAAUCGAGAUGAGUGGUUUUCUAGAGCUCAAG